CCUACGGGAGGCUGCAGUGGGGAAUAUUGCACAAUGGGGGAAACCCUGAUGCAGCGAAGCCGCGUGAGUGAAGAAGUAUUUAGGUAUGUAAAGCUCUAUCAGCAGGGAAGAAAAUGACGGUACCUGACUAAGAAGCCCCGGCUAACUACGUGCAAGCUGCCGCGGGAAUACGUAGGGGGCCAGCGUUAUCCGGAUUUACUGGGGGUAAAGGGAGGGUAGACGGCCAGACAAGUCAGCAGGGAAAGCCCAGGGCUCAACCCUGGGACUGCUGUUGAAACUGCCUGGCUGGAGUGCAGGAGAGGUAAGCGGAAUGCCUAGUGUAGCGGUGAAAUGCGUAGAUAUUAGGAGGAACACCAGUGGCGAAGGCGGCUUACUGGACUGUAACUGACGUUGAGGCUCGAAAGCGUGGGGAGCGAACAGGAUUAGAUACCCUAGUAGUC
rnacentral:rRNA from 1 species